AUGUUGACAGAUAUAGAAUCCUCUAUGGUGAGAGGAGUAUUUCUGAUCCCAUGAAUCAUCCUCUACUACCUCAUGUAUACAGGGCCAUCGCUCUACAGUCAAUGUAGAAAAUUGGAGCAUCACAGUGUCAGAUCAUUCCCACGCUAUCAAACCAAAUAUGACCAGUUGCUACUCUGAUCAAGGCUGACAGUUUGUCACACACUACUACUGCAGAGGCCAGAGCAUUUUGAAAGGCAAGAAACAGAACGGAAAUGGAGAGGAGAGCCCAGCAUGACUUGCGCCGUGCCAAAGGAAUACGCAGAAACGUCUACUCUUGAGCCUUCCAGUGGCCACUGGUACCUUUGGACCUUGAGCUGGAGCUGCAGCCUAGAGUUAUUAUUUAGCUUUGCCCUUUGUCUUUGAGAAAUAUCUUGAAAGAGCCAGGUUGGUCCAGACCUGCUGGCAAGCCUGCAGCCCCAUCCACCGAUUACCUAAUACACUUGUGACAUCUGCUUUCCUUGUUGUGAGAAAACACAGGGAGGAAGUGUGUAAGUCCACUGAAUUGUUCCUGACUCCUCUAUUCACCUUUCAGCAUGCAAGUUCCUUCCCUUGGCGUUGAUAUCAUUAUGCAUUUGUCAAAGAUAGACUGUCACUUUAGGGCCUCUAUUAUGCACAAGAAUUGGCAGCAAAUUUUGCCACUGGGAUUUGCUUAUGUCCUCUGUAUGUUAUUGUACUUCCCUGGCAUUCAGUAAAUUCCGUACACCCACUCCUUUGAUGUUCAUUCCAGCCCCUAAAUGUGGAAACAAUGACUGAAAUUUUGGAUCAAAGCAUCCCGUAGACGGCAGGCAGCAUAGCUCUCUGAUAAUUCACUAGAACACAGAGUUCCAUCCCUCCCCCCAUCUAAAAAUCUAGGCCAGUAGUCCCCCAAGCCCUCUGGCUUCCCCAGGCCAAAGGCACAAGAGGAAGUUAAAGAAAACAAGCUCAAAGUUGGAGUCAAAAGAAAGACACUGAACUACACAGCGCCAUUGAAGCUCAUGGUCAUAUGGAAGGCUGACUGCUGUACCAUCUGUUAAUCCAUUUCUCUUCACUGCUUUAGCUGGGCAAGGUCUCCCCCCCCCCCCCCCCCAGCAUUUGAACACUCUCCAGGUCCAAUUUCUGUAUAACGUCAGCUGCACAAAAUGACCUAUAUUUGUCAAAAUAAAAUUUUAAGUCCCGAAGUGUCCAUGGAGUAUAUAAUGGUAAAACUAAAAAAAUAAAAAUAAAAAUAAA
rnacentral:lncRNA from 1 species